CCCCACUGUCCGCGCUGGACGGUAACCGGAGGACCUAGUUCCGCAUCUUAAGUUAAAAAGCAAGAAAAAAGAGUUAAGAAAGAGUCACUUUUUUAAAGCGCCCGUGCUGCAGCAAGCUGCGGGCAGCCCCGCAGGAGUAGAUCCCGCGGGGCGGAGUGGACGCUGGGGGGGCGGCGCGGUCCCAGCCCCUCCUCCGCUCCCGCGGCGCGCAGCCGGGCGGCGUGCCAGGCGGCUGCGUGCCCGGACGGGCGGCAUCCGGUCUCCGAGUACCGACUCGCGAGGCGGCGGCCUCUGUCCCGAGAGCUCAGCGGUCCGCUCCGCCCCUCCGGAAGACUUACCGCGGAAGAAUGAGGACUCCAAAGAUUUAGUAAUGUGCACCCCACAUCUGCUUGCAUCUCUGGCCAGUCGAAAGCUGCUGGUGGUGAUGAAAAAGAACAUCCUGUGGAUGCCCCGGGAUAAACUUCCUGCCGCUGACGACAGAGCAGCUCCAAGCACUGCAGACAUCUGACGCCGCUUCUCGGUGUUAAAAAGAAAAAGUGCAUGAUAACAGAUGUUGUAUAGGUAAUUUAUACAAUAUACACACUUAAAUUUUCUCUAAUAGCAUCCCAAUACUUCACACGAAACACUUCUUGAGCAUUAAAAACAGC
rnacentral:lncRNA from 1 species